UGUUAAUUUAAGCAAGCAGCAGAUUUUUGGAAUGUGAAACACUGGAGAAGUGCAGCUAAGGGAACUGUUAGAACUAUAGCAGUCUGCCCUGUGGAAAGAUUUGUUGCAGAGAACUGGGAGAAGUGGAGAGUUAAUCCAACACUGCACUGUAACAGUCACUUUGUCUGUAAUCUCAGCACUAACACUUAUUGCAUUGGCAUUAGGUCUCUUUGUGAUUACCUUCAAAUGGAAAUAAUAUUUCCUAAAAAAACCCUUUCUUUACAGAAAAUGAAUAUCCUGUCAGGAAAAUCAAAAGACCUCUGAUUAGUCAUCACCCUCAUUACAGCAUUCAAAACUUAGCUCGUUUUCACAGGUCCAAAAGAAAGUCGACGAGUCACUUUCAAGCCCAGAACAUCACCAAGUCCAGAUGUGCCAUACACAAAACCUGCUCCUAAAGAACCACAACAUGUACCUUUUAAACCUAAACCAGCUCCCAUUCCAGAUGUUCCACCCGGCAAGCCUGGUAAAUUACCUUGCCUUUUGUAAUGCUGUGGUUGAUAACUGGGCACCCAUUUGUGGUGGAGGUGUGGGGGGGGAGGGGGGAGGCAGGGGGGAUGUAGAGUUGUCAGCAGUACAUUUGCUAUUACCUCUGUACUACUAUAGUUUAAGAAACCUAUAAGUUAAGAAACUACAGUAAUUCAAGAUUUUUUUAAUAUUGUGUUUGUGUUACUGGAAGAAUAGUAGGGACCCAUAUAUUUAGAUGAAUGAUAUGAAGUUAUUAACAACUUGUACCCGAGCAACACACUUUGUUUUUUUGUAGCAUCAUGUUUUUGAAAUUUAUCAGAGAACUCUCAUAUGGUUGUUGAAGUGCUUUUUCCCUUAAAUACACAUUUUCACCCAAAUGAGACUGAGUAUUCCCUUCUAUUGUAUUCCAUUUAGGAGAAUCCCUGUCAUAAAUCUGGCUGACCUGUGUAAGAUAAUCACUGAUUUCACUGAAGAGUUGUCGUGUUUUUUUGUUUUUUUUUUUUUUUAAGUAUUUAAAUGCAAAAACAAACAAACAAAAAAAACUCUUCAUAAACAUAAAUCUCUGAGGUUUUUUUUUUAAGGGAGUGGGGAGAGAG
rnacentral:lncRNA from 1 species